GGAAGUGUGGCUUAGUGUAUAGAGCACCGACCUGGGAGUCAGAAGGACCUGGGUUCUAAUCCUAGCUCUGCCA
rnacentral:tRNA from 1 species